rnacentral:rRNA from 1 species
UACACUCCUGCGGGAGGCAGCAGUGGGGAAUAUUGGACAAUGGGCGCAAGCCUGAUCCAGCCAUGCCGCGUGAGUGAUGAAGGCCCUAGGGUUGUAAAGCUCUUUCACCGGUGAAGAUAAUGACGGUAACCGGAGAAGAAGCCCCGGCUAACUUCGUGCCAGCAGCCGCGGUAAUACGAAGGGGGCUAGCGUUGUUCGGAUUUACUGGGCGUAAAGCGCACGUAGGCGGACUAUUAAGUCAGGGGUGAAAUCCCGGGGCUCAACCCCGGAACUGCCUUUGAUACUGGUAGUCUUGAGUUCGAGAGAGGUGAGUGGAAUUCCGAGUGUAGAGGUGAAAUUCGUAGAUAUUCGGAGGAACACCAGUGGCGAAGGCGGCUCACUGGCUCGAUACUGACGCUGAGGUGCGAAAGCGUGGGGAGCAAACAGGAUUAGAAACCCCGGUAGUCCCAUGA